GGAAGUGAAAGUGUUAGUGGAGGGUGCGAGGCGUGCCGAAAAUGUGCAUUACAAGAAAAGGCCGCAACGAUUGUGGAAUUGCAGCAGGAAGAUGCUGAAAAUACUGAUAGUGCAAAUAUAGAGGGUCACUCGCAAUCGCAAGAGAACAAGUGAGUGGAUUAUAUCGUUGGACUACGGAGAUAGUGCUCUUCCUCCUUGAUACAUACGCAGAGAGAGAGGAGAAAUUUUCCAGCGGGAAG